rnacentral:tRNA from 1 species
GGGGCUAUAGCUCAGCUGGAAGAGCGCCUGGAUCGCACCCAGGAGGUCGUCGGUUCGAGUCCGACUAGCUCCA